rnacentral:rRNA from 1 species
UGCCGGUGACAAACCGGAGGAAGGUGGGGAUGACGUCAAAUCAUCAUGCCCCUUAUGACCUGGGCUACACACGUGCUACAAUGGGAAGUACAACGAGUCGCUAGACCGCGAGGUCAUGCAAAUCUCUUAAAGCUUCUCUCAGUUCGGAUUGCAGGCUGCAACUCGCCUGCAUGAAGCCGGAAUCGCUAGUAAUCGCGGAUCAGCACGCCGCGGUGAAUACGUUCCCGGGCCUUGUACACACCGCCCGUCACACCACGAGAGUUUGUAACACCCGAAGUCGGUGAGGUAACCUUUUUGGAGCCAGCCGCCUAAGGUGGGAUAGAUGAUUGGGGUGAAGUCGUAACAAGGUAGCCGUAUCGGAAGGUGCGGCUGGAUCACCUCCUUU